GACAGAGGGUGCAAACGUUGCUCGGAAUUACUGGGCGUAAAGGGCUCGUAGGUGGCCAAUUAAGUCAGACGUGAAAUCCCCAGGCUCAACUUGGGAACUGCGUCUGAUACUGGUUGGCUUGAAUUCGGGAGAGGGAUGCAGAAUUCCAGGUGUAGCGGUGAAAUGCGUAGAUAUCUGGAGGAACACCGGUGGCGAAGGCGGCAUCCUGGACCAACACUGACGCUGAGGAGCGAAAGCCAGGGGAGCAGACGGG
rnacentral:rRNA from 1 species